AGUGAACGCUGGCGGUAGGCCUAACACAUGCAAGUCGAACGGCAGCACAGGAGAGCUUGCUCUCUGGGUGGCGAGUGGCGGACGGGUGAGGAAUACAUCGGAAUCUACCUUUUCGUGGGGGAUAACGUAGGGAAACUUACGCUAAUACCGCAUAAGACCUUCGGUGAAGCCGGGACCGUCGGCCGUGGCGCGGAUAGAUGAGCCGAUGUCGGAUUAGCUUGUUGGCGGGGUAAACGGACCCACCAAGGCGACGAUCCGUAGCUGGUCUGAGAGGAUGAUCAGCCACACUGGAACUGAGACACGGUCC
rnacentral:rRNA from 1 species